CCCGAGGAAAAGAAAUCAACCGAGAUUCCCCCAGUAGCGGCGAGCGAACGGGGAGGAGCCCAGAGCCUGAAUCAGCAUGUGUGUUAGUGGAAGCGUCUGGAAAGGCGCGCGAUACAGGGUGACAGCCCCGUACACAAAAGCGCAUGUGCUGUGAGCUCGAUGAGUAGGGCGGGACACGUGGUAUCCUGUCUGAAUAUGGGGGGACCAUCCUCCAAGGCUAAAUACUCCUGACUGACCGAUAGUGAACCAGUACCGUGAGGGAAAGGCGAAAAGAACCCCGGCGAGGGGAGUGAAAAAGAACCUGAAACCGUGUACGUACAAGCAGUGGGAGCACAGGUUUACCUGUGUGACUGCGUACCUUUUGUAUAAUGGGUCAGCGACUUAUAUUCUGUAGCAAGGUUAACCGUAUAGGGGAGCCGGAGGGAAACCGAGUCUUAACCGGGCGUUAAGUUGCAGGGUAUAGACCCGAAACCCGGUGAUCUAGCCAUGGGCAGGUUGAAGGUUGGGUAACACUAACUGGAGGACCGAACCGACUAAUGUUGAAAAAUUAGCGGAUGACCUGUGGCUGGGGGUGAAAGGCCAAUCAAACCGGGAGAUAGCUGGUUCUCCCCGAAAGCUAUUUAGGUAGCGCCUCGUGAAUUCAUCUCCGGGGGUAGAGCACUGUUUCGGCUAGGGGGCCAUCCCGGCUUACCAACCCGAUGCAAACUGCGAAUACCGGAGAAUGUUAUCACGGGAGACACACGGCGGGUGCUAACGUCCGUCGUGAAGAGGGAAACAACCCAGACCGCCAGCUAAGGUCCCAAAGUCAUGGUUAAGUGGGAAACGAUGUGGGAAGGCCCAGACAGCCAGGAUGUUGGCUUAGAAGCAGCCAUCAUUUAAAGAAAGCGUAAUAGCUCACUGGUCGAGUCGGCCUGCGCGGAAGAUGUAACGGGGCUAAACCAUGCACCGAAGCUGCGGCAGCGACACUCAGGUGUUGUUGGGUAGGGGAGCGUUCUGUAAGCCUGUGAAGGUGGCCUGUGAGGGUUGCUGGAGGUAUCAGAAGUGCGAAUGCUGACAUAAGUAACGAUAAAGCGGGUGAAAAGCCCGCUCGCCGGAAGACCAAGGGUUCCUGUCCAACGUUAAUCGGGGCAGGGUGAGUCGACCCCUAAGGCGAGGCCGAAAGGCGUAGUCGAUGGGAAACGGGUUAAUAUUCCCGUACUUGGUGUUACUGCGAAGGGGGGGACGGAGAAGGCUAUGUUGGCCGGGCGACGGUUGUCCCGGUUUAAGCGUGUAGGUGUGUGUUCCAGGUAAAUCCGGUUCACUUUAACACUGAGGCGUGACGACGAGGCACUACGGUGCUGAAGCAACAAAUGCCCUGCUUCCAGGAAAAGCCUCUAAGCAUCAGGUAACAUCAAAUCGUACCCCAAACCGACACAGGUGGUCAGGUAGAGAAUACCAAGGCGCUUGAGAGAACUCGGGUGAAGGAACUAGGCAAAAUGGUGCCGUAACUUCGGGAGAAGGCACGCUGACACGUAGGUGAAGUGAUUUACUCAUGGAGCUGAAGUCAGUCGAAGAUACCAGCUGGCUGCAACUGUUUAUUAAAAACACAGCACUGUGCAAACACGAAAGUGGACGUAUACGGUGUGACGCCUGCCCGGUGCCGGAAGGUUAAUUGAUGGGGUCAGCGCAAGCGAAGCUCCUGAUCGAAGCCCCGGUAAACGGCGGCCGUAACUAUAACGGUCCUAAGGUAGCGAAAUUCCUUGUCGGGUAAGUUCCGACCUGCACGAAUGGCGUAAUGAUGGCCAGGCUGUCUCCACCCGAGACUCAGUGAAAUUGAACUCGCUGUGAAGAUGCAGUGUACCCGCGGCAAGACGGAAAGACCCCGUGAACCUUUACUAUAGCUUGACACUGAACAUUGAGCCUUGAUGUGUAGGAUAGGUGGGAGGCUUUGAAGUGUGGACGCCAGUCUGCAUGGAGCCGACCUUGAAAUACCACCCUUUAAUGUUUGAUGUUCUAACGUGGACCCGUUACCCGGGUUGCGGACAGUGUCUGGUGGGUAGUUUGACUGGGGCGGUCUCCUCCUAAAGAGUAACGGAGGAGCACGAAGGUUGGCUAAUCCUGGUCGGACAUCAGGAGGUUAGUGCAAUGGCAUAAGCCAGCUUGACUGCGAGCGUGACGGCGCGAGCAGGUGCGAAAGCAGGUCAUAGUGAUCCGGUGGUUCUGAAUGGAAGGGCCAUCGCUCAACGGAUAAAAGGUACUCCGGGGAUAACAGGCUGAUACCGCCCAAGAGUUCAUAUCGACGGCGGUGUUUGGCACCUCGAUGUCGGCUCAUCACAUCCUGGGGCUGAAGUAGGUCCCAAGGGUAUGGCUGUUCGCCAUUUAAAGUGGUACGCGAGCUGGGUUUAGAACGUCGUGAGACAGUUCGGUCCCUAUCUGCCGUGGGCGCUGGAGAACUGAGGGGGGCUGCUCCUAGUACGAGAGGACCGGAGUGGACGCAUCACUGGUGUUCGGGUUGUCAUGCCAAUGGCACUGCCCGGUAGCUAAAUGCGGAAGAGAUAAGUGCUGAAAGCAUCUAAGCACGAAACUUGCCCCGAGAUGAGUUCUCCCUGAGACUUUAGGUCUCCUGAAGGAACGUUGAAGACGACGACGUUGAUAGGCCGGGUGUGUAAGCGCAGCGAUGCGUUGAGCUAACCGGUACUAAUGAACCGUGAGGCUUAACCUUACAACGCCGAAG
rnacentral:rRNA from 1 species